rnacentral:rRNA from 1 species
CGCGUAUGCAAUCUACCUUUAACUGGUGAAUAGCCCGAAGAAAUUCGGAUUAAUACACCAUAGUAUAAUUGAGUGGCAUCACUUAAUUAUUAAAACUCCGGUGGUUAAAGAUGAGCAUGCGUGACAUUAGCUAGUUGGUGAGGUAAUGGCUCACCAAGGCUACGAUGUCUAGGGGAUCUGAGAGGAUUAACCCCCACACUGGUACUGAGACAGGGACCAG